GCAAGGGUGCCCGCCGGUCUCAUCAGAAUCUCUGUUUUCGAACCCGACGAUACUUCUGAGUGUUCUUAGCGAACUGUCAAAACUUUUAACAACGGAUCUCUUGGCUCCAGCAUCGAUGAAGAACGCAGCGAAACGCGAUAUGUAAUGUGAAUUGCAGAAUUCAGUGAAUCAUCGAAUCUUUGAACGCACAUGGCGCCUUCCAGUAUCCUGGGAGGCAUGCCUGUCCGAGCGUCGUUUCAACCCUCGAGCCCCUGUGGCCCGGCGUUGGGGAUCUGCCACGGCAGGCCCCUAAAACCAGUGGCGGACCCGAAGGGCCCUCUCCUUUGCGCAGUAGCAUUCGCCUCGCAUCGGGAGUCCUCGGCGUCCUGCCUCUAAACCCCCCACAAGCCCGCUUCGGCGGCACCAAGGUUGACCUCGGAUCAGGUAGGAAUACCCGCUGAACUUAAGCAUAUCA
rnacentral:rRNA from 1 species